CCCUUUUAAGGCCCCCUACCUUCUUGGUUCAUUGUUAGUUGAAUCAUGAGUUUCUGACUUCUGAGAGAAAGAGUCGCCAUUUUUAGACCUUUGAAUUUUUUUGAGGUUUUGAAUUUUGAUGUUGGCUUAAUUAGCUGGAUUGUCACUUGUGAGGCAUUUCUUAGAAUGUGAUGGGUUUAAGUUGGUUCGGGUUGGCGGUUCGUGAGCUUGCUAUUAUUCUUGACGAAUUUUGAUGCUGAAAGACUUGGAAACCAUGCUGUCGACCACGUCGAGAAGCUGAGUAACAUUCUGCUUUUACAAUGGCACCGUUUUAAUAAAAGGAACUCAAGCCAUCACAAUCUAGGGCUUCCAUCAAAUCAUGCAGGCUGCAUGGAAGUCACAUUUACCGUUGCCGUGAACAUCAUGAAGACAUACACUAUUUGAAGGUUCAUGUUUACGUAGCAGUGGUGUUGCUGUCCAAUGUGGCGUGUUGUUGCAGCCUAUGGUGGUAAAAGAUAUCUGCAUCAUGUUGCUGUUCCUUGUGCAUCCAAGGUGCUGGUUUUGUGCUACAGAAGUGACAUUCAAUAUUGUGUUUAAUUGCUAUUUGUGUCUAUGCGGUUUACCUUUAUAUAUUGAGAAGGAACAAAAAAAUAGUAAUACGGGGAGGUUUAUGUAAAAAAAAUAAUAAACAUGUUCAGGAUGGGGGAAUGAGGAGGAAGUUGGGGUGGGGUAUUUGGUUAUGAUUUACUAAAAGAACUGAGGUAUAUUUUUAAUGAAUAUGCAGUACUUGGUGAUAAAAUCUGUUGUUAACCUAUACCUUCCUGUCAACCUAUACCUUUCCCACUUCCACAUCCAUUCCUCAAACCCCAUAAGCACCAACAUCAAGUCCCACAUCCAUUCCUAAACCCCACAAAGCCACAAUCUCCCAACAUCAAGUUCACACAAUUAUUGUAUAUCUAUAAUCAUUUUUAUAUUAAAAUAAAUAAAAUGUAAUUGUAUAAAAAUUGUGUAAACUUUAUUUAUUCUGGAAC